GACGAACGCUGGCGGCGUGCCUAAUACAUGCAAGUCGAGCGAAUCUUGAGGUGCUUGCACCUCUUGGUUAGCGGCGGACGGGUGAGUAACACGUGGGCAACCUGCCUGUAAGACUGGGAUAACACCGGGAAACCGGUGCUAAUACCGGAUAAUCCUUUUCCUCUCAUGAGGAAAAGCUGAAAGUCGGUUUACGCUGACACUUACAGAUGGGCCCGCGGCGCAUUAGCUAGUUGGUGAGGUAACGGCUCACCAAGGCGACGAUGCGUAGCCGACCUGAGAGGGUGAUCGGCCACACUGGGACUGAGACACGGCCCAGACUCCUACGGGAGGCAGCAGUAGGGAAUCUUCCGCAAUGGACGAAAGUCUGACGGAGCAACGCCGCGUGAGCGAUGAAGGCCUUCGGGUCGUAAAGCCCUGUUGUUAGGGAAGAACAAGUACCGGAGUAACUGCCGGUACCUUGACGGUACCUAACCAGAAAGCCACGGCUAACUACGUGCCAGCCGCCGCGGUAAUAC
rnacentral:rRNA from 1 species